UUUUAAGUGGCCGAGAGUAUAGGCAGUAGAUUUUUAAUCUUAGUACGGGAUUAAACCCCUUUUGCGUU
rnacentral:tRNA from 1 species